CCUACGGGAGGCAGCAGUGAGGAAUAUUGGUCAAUGGACGAGAGUCUGAACCAGUCAAGUAGCGUGAAGGAUGACUGCCCUAUGGGUUGUAAACUUCUUUUAUAUGGGAAUAAAAUGUUCCACGUGUGGGCUUUUGUAUGUACCAUAUGAAUAAGGAUCGGCUAACUCCGUGCCAGCAGCCGCGGUAAUACGGAGGAUCCGAGCGUUAUCCGGAUUUAUUGGGUUUAAAGGGAGCGUAGGUGGAUUGUUAAGUCAGUUGUGAAAGUUUGCGGCUCAACCGUAAAAUUGCAGUUGAAACUGGCAGUCUUGAGUACAGUAGAGGUGGGCGGAAUUCGUGGUGUAGCGGUGAAAUGCUUAGAUAUCACGAAGAACUCCGAUUGCGAAGGCAGCUCACUGGACUGCAACUGACACUGAGGCUCGAAAGUGUGGGUAUCAAACAGGAUUAGAUACCCGAGUAGUC
rnacentral:rRNA from 1 species